rnacentral:lncRNA from 1 species
AAAUUCUAUAAAAGAUAUUUUCCUAUUUUAUUUUAAAAUAUCUUUUUUAGAUAUUAUCUAUUUAAUUUCAAAAUAUAUAUAUUUUAUAAGAUAACGGAUUUUAUUUUUCUAUUUAAUUUUAAAAAUUUAUUUCCUAACAGAUUUUAUUUUUCUAUUUAAUUUCAAAAGUAAUUUUUGCAUUAGAGAUUAUUGUUAAUUAUUUAUCAUUUAAAGUAUAUCUUUCUUAAUAGCGUGAUUUAUUAUUUUAAAUUUUUUAGAUACAUAUUUGNUAAUUAACUUGUAAUACUAGUAUAGUAAUCUUCGUGAUAUGGCGGAUAGAUAAUUAAAAAAUAAAAAAAUCUAUAAAAAUAAAAAAAAAUGGUGAUGAAAAAAACGAUGAUAAGAAAUGGGAUUUAUCUUACUGAUAAAUGAAAAUAACAGUCGAAGGAAGAGAAAGAUGAAGGACUUGAGCUGGUUCGGAAUAGAGUCCACAUUCAACAGAAGGAAAAAUUGCCACAUAGCAAUUUGAGGAAAAAUAUAAUAUAUAUAUAUAUAGAUAGUGUAGAGCUACUAUGCUAACUAUGCUAUCAGAAACAUAAAGUAGUUGGUGCUUCUGAUUUUUUAGCUCUUUGAUCAAAGAUUCUGCGGUUGGGAUGCUAGUGGUCCCUUUAGGAUUGAGUGGUCCCCUAGUGUUGAGUGGUCUCCAUUGGUUAAUAAUAUUAAUCCAAUGAUUAGAAAUGAUCAAUGGAGAUGAUCUAAGGGCUAAAAAAUCGGAAGCACCAACUACUUUAUGCUUACAAUAGCAUAGUAACUACAUAUAUAUAUAGAAUUAGGCUGGAAUACUAUUGAUAGCAAAAUGAUCUUUUUAUUAUCAAGUUUUUAAUCUUUGAAUGAGAAAUUGUAGGGUUAGGAUGAUAUUAGUCAGUUAGAGUUGAGUGGUCCCCCUAGGGUUGAUUGGUCUCUACUGGUUUAUAGUAUUUAAUCCAAUGAUUAGAAAUGAUGAAAAAAGUUGAUCCAAAGGCUAAAAACUUGAUAGCAAAAAUGACGUUUUGCUAUCAAUAGUAUUCUAGCUCAACUCUAUAUAUAUAUAUAUAUAUAUAGAGUGAGGCUACUAUACUAUCGGAAGCACGGAGCCUUCCGUGCUUCCAGCUCGUUUUCGAUGUUGCGACUUUCGAAUCGUCGAUCGGCUCCGUUAAACUUGAUCUAGAGUAUUUGAAGUACGUAGAAAAUAAAGUUUAUGAUUUUACGAUAUCAUUUGCCUAGUGAUCGAAUGGGCUCAAAAUCAACAAAUUUCAAUGGCCGUAGUGAGCUGUUUGUAAGUUUAACGGUGUAGAAAUAUCCAAAUCAUGUAAAAUUUUGAUGGAAAAUUUUUUAUACUAUAUAAAACAAGAUCAAUAUAUUUGAUUUAAAAUUUUAAUGUCAUAUUAUUACAUUUUGUAAGAUUUUUAUUUUCAGCCGUUGAUUUUGAGCCCCUUUGUUCACUAAGCGAAUGAUAUCGUAAAAUUAUAAAAUUUAUUUUCUAGGUACUUCAAAUACUCUAGAUCAAGUUUAACGGAGUCGAUCGACGAUUCGAAAGUCGCAACAUCGAAAACGAGCUGGAAGCACGGAAGGCUCCGUGCUUCCGAUAGCAUAGUAGCCUCACUCUCUCUCUCUCUCUCUCUAUAUAUAUAUAAUGAGAAGAGCUAGGCUGCUAUACUAUCGGUAGCAUGGACGUUUUCGUGCUACCAAGUUGUUUUCAAUUAUGCCGCUUCCAAAUCGACGAUCGGCCCCGUUCAACUUGAUCUACACUAGUGAAAGUAUUUGAAAACUAAAUUUCAUAAUUUUUCGGUAUUAUUUACCUAUCAAACGAGUAGUUUGAAAAUAAAAAUCUCAUAAAAAAUAAUGAUAGAAGACUUGAAUUUAAGAUUAGAGGUACUGAUCUUACUUUAAAUAGUAAAAAGAAUUUUCUAUAAAAAUUUCAUCUGAUUUGAAUUGUUUUACACUAUUAAAUUUACAAAUGCAUCACAUCUAUCAUUAAAAUUAUCAAUUUUGAGACAUUUUGAUCACUAGCCAAAUGAUGUUGAAAAAUUCUGAAAUUUAGUUUCUAAAUACUUUCAAUAGUGUAGAUCAAGUCUAAUGGACCAGAUCGUCGAUUUGAAAACCGUAUCAUCGAAAAUAACUUGAUAAUACGGAAGCCUCCGUACUACCGAUAGUAUAGCAGCCCAACUCCAAUGAGAAAUGCCACCAACCAGCAA